rnacentral:rRNA from 1 species
GUAGGUGGCAAGCGUUGUCCGGAAUUAUUGGGCGUAAAGCGCGCGCAGGUGGGUUCUUUAAGUCUGAUGUGAAAGCCCCCGGGCUCAACCGGGGAGGGUCAUUGGAAACUGGGGAACUUGAGUGCAGGAGAGGAAAGUGGAAUUCCGCGUGUAGCGGUGAAAUGCGUAGAUAUGUGGAGGAACACCAGUGGCGAAGGCGACUUUCUGGCCUGUAACUGACACUGAGGCGCGAAAGCGUGGGGAGCAAACAGGAUUAGAUACCCUGGUAGUCCACGCCGUAAACGAUGAGUGCUAAGUGUUGGGGGGUUUCCGCCCCUCAGUGCUGCAGCUAACGCAUUAAGCACUCCGCCUGGGGAGUACGGUCGCAAGACUG